UCAGAGCAUGCAAGCUGAUCCCAAAGAUAUCAAACAACUGAGCAGAAGAAGACCACCUGAUUGAGUGCCAUCUAUAGUUCUAUACAUGUAGCAUGUUGCUUAGCAUUUUGGUGCCAUCUUAGCAUUGUGAUAGUUAAUCUUUAUAUCUUCAUGGAUUGGUUCACUCUGGUACUUCACUUUGAUAGACACAUUUUCUUGCUAGGGGUCGGGCGAGAUAGGCCAACAAGUGCACAUGAAUGCUGGAUCUAGGCAAAUGCUUCCAUACUAGGAACAACACUCUAAUGAAACAUCGAGUUGCUCCAGAGCAAUAACAAUGCACAAGACGGAAUUUUCUGACCCAAAUCUUAAGCUGGCCAUCAGUUUUUAACUCAGGAGAGCUGCAUGUUAUAUUGAAAAGUAGAAAACGCCCAGAGGGGCGAAGGUAAAAUUUACAAGGCAGAACAAGAAAAACGGAGCUCCAACAGCUGCCAAGUCGGAUUAAUAUGUUUGAUCUUGCUAAUAUUGACAUAGUGUACUGGUCAACUCCAUUGAGGGUGCGGCAAAGCCGCGCUGUGUUUCUAGUAUAUACUUAUUAUCAUUUGAAUGGACAACACACAAUCAGGAGCUAGCACAAGUGCACAACUAUCAACUACUGCGAAUAGCUACGUCAGUGCACUAAUUAGUUGGACGAUCCUUCAAGUUCGUGCUAGUGCACCUUGUUUGAAAUCUUUCUUCCCUUUUCCUGCUUCUCCUAUGAGUGGGAAGACUGCUGUUGAUGUAUGCAGAUGAGUCGCAACUCUUUAGUCUCUCAAUCUUUCUGCUUGUGUGCCGUGUUUGUAUACUGAAUUCUGGGUGAGCUUUUUUCUUUGGUCCUGGUUCUGCUUUCUGUAUGUAGCAGUGCUGUUUUUUCUGAGAGGAGAUGGUGUGAGGAUCAAAUUGUUUCCCUAUUGGUUUUAUUGGCCACCAUGAUGGUUCAAACUGUAUUAGCUCUAUCU